rnacentral:rRNA from 1 species
AGACGUAGGAUGCGAGCGUUGUCCGGAUUUAUUGGGCGUAAAGAGUUCGUAGGUGGUUUGUUAAGUUUGAUGUUAAAGAUCGGGGCUCAACCUCGGGACAGCAUUGAAUACUGGCAGACUUGAGUAUGGUAGAGGCUAGUGGAAUUCCCAGUGUAGCGGUGAAAUGCGUAGAUAUUGGGAAGAACACCGGUGGCGUAGGCGACUAGCUGGGCCAUAACUGACGCUGAGGAACGAAAGCCAGGGGAGCGAAAGGGAUUAGAUACCCCUGUAGUCCUGGCCGUAAACGAUGGAUACUAGGCGUAUCGGGUAUCGACCCCUGAUGUGCCGCAGCUAACGCGAUAAGUAUCCCGCCUGAGUAGUACGGCCGCAAGGUUGAA